rnacentral:lncRNA from 1 species
UGUACCCCGGUCCACGGUGGACCGUGUGGACCGCAUGGGCAUUUCGCACGCAUUUCUCACGGUCCAUGAUACUAUUUCAUAGACCGGAGUGCGAUCGGAGGGCCCAGGUGACUCCCGGUCUUGAUCCAACGGUCUGGGACUUGAUUUGGAUUGAUUAAGGAGUCCUAAACCUAAUCUAAGUCAUGUUUAACCCUUUUAAAAGGGUCUGUGAGGCACAGAAGAAGGCAGUGGUUUGGUUUUGCACUGUGGAUGCCGUACGGAACCGAGGAAGAAGCAUGCGUUGCUG